GAGCCCUGCCCCCUGUGUUUUAGGGCCAAUCUAUGGCUCUGAAAUGUGAUGGACAGGCUGCUGGUCAGGCCUGGGCCAAUUGCACAGGCUAGUUACACCUCUGUGAUGAYGUAUGGUCUUGUACUUAAGAGGAAUUCAAAACAAGAUAGGGGCAGUCACCAUUAGUUUCURGGUUGUUAGUAUCAUCCCCUGYAYUAGGGGAGGACAGAGGAGGAGGGUGMGGAGAUGUAAGAAAAAAUGGAGACCCAAGAUCACAGUGAGAAGGAGAAAGAAGAAGGGUGUUYCUUGUGGUGCUCAACCRUGGGAAAAGACUGUUCUCGAAGGUGACUGUCUUUCGUGAGAGACUUGUGAAGAGUGAGAGAUCCUGCAUUGGUCUUGGAUGGGCUGGACUAAAUCAUAAGCCCAGGGUGAGGGGGAAAGAGGUGCCCCCUCCUGCCCAUGUCUGGAGCAAGUGGAUGCUUAGAAGAAACUGUGUUCUGCCAGGAGAUUUGAGAGAGUGGCCUUGCCCUCAGAAUGAAGCAUGCCAGCGUUGGAGGACUGUUUCCCUUUUUCCCAUGAGUCUGUGCUGUGUUUUCUGGUUUUUCCCUUGGUUUGUUUUGGAUGUGAAAUAGAAAUACCGUAUUGGUCUGAGAAGAGGCUAACAACAGCAUGAGAACAAACCACAAGGAAGAAGCACAAAUUUACUGAGAACCAAGUGUUGUAGCUGCAUUCUUCCCAGAAAUAGGCUUAUUUGUUUUCCUCUCCAACUUACACAUUGCAGCCACUUCUGGACUGGAGAGACAGAAGGUGAACCUUUCAGAGCUUCUAAGCACAAAAGGCUUGUGCUGAAGCAAUGAAGACUGUGCUGGAUCUGAGUGAUGGGAACAUCACCUAGCAAUGAUAGGUUUUGCAUUGGUACUGAAUUGCCAGUUGAAAAGCCACAA